CCUACGGGUGGCAGCAGUGAGGAAUAUUGGUCAAUGGGCGGAAGCCUGAACCAGCCAAGUCGCGUGAGGGAAUAAGGCCCUACGGGUCGUAAACCUCUUUUGCCGGGGAGCAAGGGCGGGGACGUGUCCCGUCCCGGAGAGUACCCGGAGAAAAAGCAUCGGCUAACUCCGUGCCAGCAGCCGCGGUAAUACGGAGGAUGCGAGCGUUAUCCGGAUUUAUUGGGUUUAAAGGGUGCGUAGGCGGGCUUUUAAGUCAGCGGUAAAAAUUCGGGGCUCAACCCCGUCCGGCCGUUGAAACUGGGGGGCUUGAGUGGGCGAGAAGAAGGCGGAAUGCGUGGUGUAGCGGUGAAAUGCAUAGAUAGCACGCAGAACCCCGAUUGCGAAGGCAGCCUUCCGGCGCCCUACUGACGCUGAGGCACGAAAGUGCGGGGAUCGAACAGGAUUAGAUACCCUGGUAGUC
rnacentral:rRNA from 1 species